rnacentral:rRNA from 1 species
UACGUAGGGUGCGAGCGUUGUCCGGAAUUAUUGGGCGUAAAGGGCUCGUAGGCGGUUUGUCGCGUCGGGAGUGAAAACCAUGGGCUUAACUCAUGGCUUGCUUCCGAUACGGGCAGACUAGAGGCAUGCAGGGGAGAACGGAAUUCCUGGUGUAGCGGUGAAAUGCGCAGAUAUCAGGAGGAACACCGGUGGCGAAGGCGGUUCUCGGGGCAUGUCCUGACGCUGAGGAGCGAAAGUGUGGGGAGCGAACAGG